GCGAGAAUGGUGAAAUUGGUAAACACAAGGGACUUAAAAUCCCCCGCUUAGGCUUGAGGGUUCGAGGCCCUCUUCUCGCA
rnacentral:tRNA from 1 species